rnacentral:rRNA from 1 species
AAUGGGCGAAAGCCUGAUCCAGCCAUGCCGCGUGAAGGACGAAGGCGCUCAGCGUUGUAAACUUCUUUUGGAUGGGAACAAUAACUCCGACUUGUCGGAGCUUGAGGGUACCAUCAGAAUAAGCACCGGCUAACUCCGUGCCAGCAGCCGCGGUAAUACGGAGGGUGCAANCGUUAUCCGGAAUCACUGGGUUUAAAGGGUGCGUAGGCGGCCCAAUAAGUCAGUCGUGAAAUCGCUGGGCUUAACCCAUGCAAUUGCGAUUGAUACUGUUGGACUUGAAUUAGGUUGAGGCUGGCGGAAUGCGACAUGUAGCGGUGAAAUGCUUAGAUAUGUCGCAGAACACCGAUUGCGAAGGCAGCCAGCUGGGCCUUGAUUGACGCUGAGGCACGAAAGCGUGGGGAGCAAA